GAAGUAAAAGUCGUAACAAGGUUUCCGUAGGUGAACCUGCGGAAGGAUCAUUACUGAGCAACGGGCCCUUUCUCUGUUGGGGCCUGAUCUCUUCACCGUGUCGAAUCGCACCCUGUUGCUUCAGCGGGUUGGAGAGUUGGCGCCGGCCCCGGCUGCUCUCUCCACAGCCAAUGCCCGCUGGAGACUCUUUCUGCAACGCUGGAGUGUGUUUUUCUCACGUAACGAUAACUGUCUGAGUGGAGAUACAAAUCAGUUUAUAUAAAACUUUCAACAAUGGAUCUCUUGGUUCCGGCAUCGAUGAAGAACGCAGCAAAAUGCGAUAAGUAAUGUGAAUUGCAGAAUUCCGUGAAUCAUCGAAUCUUUGAACGCAUAUUGCGCCCUCCGGUAUUCCAGAGGGCAUGCCUGUCCGAGCGUCAUUGCCUUCCCCUCCAAGCUCGGCUUGGGUGUUGGGCUCGUUUGUCCCCUGUUCGUCCCACCGUCCCCCCGACGGUGGGGGGGUUGGGGACAGGCCCGAAAGAUAGUGGCGAUACCGUGGUCAACCCCCGAGCGUAUGGGCUUCUCCCGCUCUAGGGGCUUUGAUCGGCAUCGGCCGUUCCCUGCAGUGCUCACACCAGUGGACCUCGGAUCAGGUAAGGAUACCCGCUGAACUUAAGCAUAUCAAUAA
rnacentral:rRNA from 1 species